rnacentral:rRNA from 1 species
UGGGGAAUAUUGCACAAUGGGGGAAACCCUGAUGCAGCGACGCCGCGUGAGUGAAGAAGUGAUUCGUCACGUAAAGCUCUAUCAGCAGGAAAGAAAAUGACGGUACCUGACUAAGAAGCCCCGGCUAACUACGUGCCAGCAGCCGCGGUAAUACGUAGGGGGCAAGCGUUAUCCGGAUUUACUGGGUGUAAAGGGAGCGUAGACGGCAGGGCAAGUCUGAAGUGAAAGCCCGGGGCCCAACCCCGGGACUGCUUUGGAAACUGUCCGGCUGGAGUGCAGGAGGGGUGGGCGGAAUUCCUAGUGUAGCGGUGAAAUGCGUAGAUAUUAGGAGGAACACCGGCGGCGAAGGCGGCCCACUGGACUGUAACUGACGUUGAGGCUCGAAAGCGUGGGGAGCAAA